rnacentral:rRNA from 1 species
GUCUACGGUUGUACCACCCUGAACGCACCCGAUCUUGUCUGAUCUUGGAAGCUAAGCAGGGUUGGGCCUGGUUAGUACUUGGAUGGAGAAUGUUUAAGAUCCUCCCUGUAAAUU